UGUGAUGUACAAAUAAAAUGCUUCUUUCUUCGUUACGUAGGCCUCUAUUUUUAUAAAUACCUACGUAUUACUGGUCUUCGUACUAACAAGACUUUUGUAAUUUAGUAAUUAACAAUCACAGAAGCGUUUCACGAUUACUCGAGCAGAGUGUAAUCUGAUGCCUGUCGGUUAGUAUCGAAACGUUACUAUUUGAUAGACCGGAGACCACACGUGUUGUGGUCGGGCGAUAUCAAGUCUCUCGCCUAUCACUCACAAGGUAGUAUCACUUGACUGGAACAUAAAAAAUAUGUUCAUUUAUUAUAUUUCGUUUGGUAAGUUGACUUCUUUUGAAGGGAUACCUUCUAAAAUUAUCUAUUGUCUAUAUUAAAUUAAAACGAAUUCUCAUACCAUAGAAAUUAUCAAAUUGAUUAUUUAUUUAAAAAUAACACUUUCCCACACCAGGGUAUUUUUCUUUGUUUUCUAGGUACGUUUACAAACAUAUGAAAUAGCAUAACACGCACACCCAGGCUCGGAACAAUAAUUUGUGAAUCUUAUAAAGAGUUGUUCCAUGUGGGAAAUGAACCAGCGACAAAAUGUGCAGCAGCCAAUAGCCCAGGCAUUGCUGACAACAUAGAUGCGAAUGUUGGAUAAUUCUAAGUUAUCUAACGUCCACGUGUUUUAUUUUUAUAGCAAAUGAGCGUAACAUAAGCUCAUGAAAUCGAGGUCGAUCCAGUCGCGGUUACCACAGGAAACCGCAAACUAUCCAUCUAAAUAACUACAGUGCAACAAGAGCUGUUAUUUUUUACUGAAUUUAACACAGGGAAAGAAUCAAAAAAUACUACGACAAUGAGAUGAAAAGGUAUCGAAAAUAAUUUUCUUAGGUAAACCUAAGUACGUAAUAAAAAGUAUACGUAGACACAUUCCUAUUAUAUUGAUCUGUGCGAAUCUAUACUUACUUAGAUAUACGUAAACCUGCAAAGUUUGUUUGUUCGAUAGCGUUAAUUUCCGGAACCAGAAGAUUUGAAUUAAAUAAUAUCUUUGUGUCAUAUAGUCUAUUUAUUAAAGAACGCUAACGGUCUUAGUGAUAAAAAUCUUUAUGAAAACAUCACGUGGCGAUCAGUAGAAACCGGGCAGCGGGGAAGCCGCGCGCGAAUAGACCUACUACUUAUUAUAAAGCUGAAGAGUUUAUAUAUUUGGCGGAGCUAAUCUCCGCAACAACUGGUUUGAAUUGAAUAAUUAUUUUUGUGUUAGAUAUAUGUAUGUUGUCCCAUCGACAUCCUUAUGGUAAGAUGUCGAUGGAUAGUUCAUUUACCGAGAAAGGCAAUAUAAAUUUCACGCUACGAUCUAUAGUAGCCGAGCAGCGGGCUAAAACCACGCGGGGUAGUAGUUAAAAAAAUCGAUUCAUACACAGAUAUGCAGAAACACAUAAAAACACGACUGUGUUUUAUAUCAGGUAGUGAUUAUAUUUUCUAAGUACAAAUUUAUAGGCACUUAUAUACAAAUAUCCUACUACUAU